CAGCAGCCGCGGUAAUACGUAGGUGGCAAGCGUUGUCCGGAAUUAUUGGGCGUAAAGCGCGCGCAGGCGGUUUCUUAAGUCUGAUGUGAAAGCCCCCGGCUUAACCGGGGAGGGUCAUUGGAAACUGGGAAACUUGAGUGCAGAAGAGGAGAGUGGAAUUCCACGUGUAGCGGUGAAAUGCGUAGAGAUGUGGAGGAACACCAGUGGCGAAGGCGACUCUCUGGUCUGUAACUGACGCUGAGGAGCGAAAGCGUGGGGAGCGAACAAGAUUAGAUACCCGUGUAGUCCCUGUCUCUUAUAC
rnacentral:rRNA from 1 species